GUGUCAGCAGCCGCGGUAAUACAGAGGGGGCCAGCGUUAUUCGGAAUUAUUGGGCGUAAAGGGCGCGUAGGCGGCCACGCGUGUCUUUCGUGAAAUCCCUCGGCUUAACUGAGGACGUGCGGAAGAAACUGCGAGGCUGGAGUCCGGGAGAGGGGGGUGGAAUUCCCAGUGUAGCGGUGAAAUGCGUAGAUAUUGGGAGGAACACCGGUGGCGAAGGCGGCCCCCUGGACCGGUACUGACGCUGAUGCGCGAAAGCGUGGGGAGCAAACGGGAUUAGAAACCCUCGUAGUCC
rnacentral:rRNA from 1 species